rnacentral:sRNA from 19 species
CUAUAAAACAAGCCUAAACUUCCAAAACUGGAAUCAAGUGCGGGGGAUAACAAUAUUUGAGGUGAAUCUUUUUAUUAAAAAGUAGGACAAUCCCUCUCCGAACCUGUCAACUAACCUCGUAGGCUAAUUAGGGAGGAUAU